CCUACGGGGGGCUGCAGUGAGGAAUAUUGGUCAAUGGUCGGGAGACUGAACCAGCCAAGCCGCGUGAGGGAUGAAGGUACAGAGUAUCGUAAACCUCUUUUGUCAAGGAACAAAGUCAGGCUCGCGUGCCCGGAUGAGUGUACCUGAAGAAAAAGCAUCGGCUAACUCCGUGCCAGCAGCCGCGGUAAUACGGAGGAUGCGAGCGUUAUCCGGAUUUAUUGGGUUUAAAGGGUGCGUAGGCGGUCUGUUAAGUCAGCGGUCAAAGCCCGGGGCUCAACCCCGGCGCGCCGUUGAAACUGGCAGUCUCGAGUUGGAGAGAGGUAUGCGGAAUGCGCGGUGUAGCGGUGAAAGGCAUAGAUAUUGCGCAGAACUCCGAUUGCGAAGGCAGCAUGCCGGCUCCAAACUGACGCUGAGGCACGAAAGCGUGGGUAUCGAACAGGAUUAGAUACCCUAGUAGUC
rnacentral:rRNA from 1 species